rnacentral:rRNA from 1 species
AUUGAACGCUGGCGGCAUGCCUUACACAUGCAAGUCGAACGGUAGAGCAGCAAUGCUUGAGAGUGGCGAACGGGUGAGUAAUAUAUCGGAACGUGCCCAGUCGUGGGGGGUAACGUAGAGAAAUUUACGCUAAUACCGCAUACGAUCUAAGGAUGAAAGCGGGGGACUCGCAAGAGCCUCGCGCGAUUGGAGCGGCUGAUAUCAGAUUAGGUUGUUGGUGAGGUAAAAGCUCACCAAGCCGACGAUCUGUAGCUGGUUUGAGAGAACGACCAGCCACACUGGGACUGAGACACGGCCCAGACUCCUACGGGAGGCAGCAGUGGGGAAUUUUGGACAAUGGGCGAAAGCCUGAUCCAGCAAUGCCGCGUGUGGGAAGAAGGCCUUCGGGUUGUAAACCACUUUUGUACGGAACGAAACGGUCUGCUUUAAUACAGCGGGCUAAUGACGGUACCGUAAGAAUAAGCACCGGCUAACUACGUGCCAGCAGCCGCGGUAAUACGUAGGGUGCGAGCGUUAAUCGGAAUUACUGGGGCGUAAAGCGUGCGCAGGCGGUUAUAUAAGACAGUUGUGAAAUCCCCGGGCUCAACCUGGGAAUUGCAUCUGUGACUGUAUAGCUAGAGUACGGUAGAGGGGGAUGGAAUUCCGCGUGUAGCAGUGAAAUGCGUAGAUAUGCGGAGGAACACCGAUGGCGAAGGCAAUCCCCUGGACUGUACUGACGCUCAUGCACGAAAGCGUGGGGAGCAACAGGAUUAGAUACCCUGGUAGUCAACGCCCUAAACGAUUGUCAACUGGNGUGGGUGCAUAGUACCUCAGUAACGAAGCUAACGCG